GACGAACGCUGGCGGCGUGCUUAACACAUGCAAGUCGAACGGAAAGGCCCUGCUUUUGUGGGGUGCUCGAGUGGCGAACGGGUGAGUAACACGUGAGUACCCUGCCCUUGCCUUUGGGAUAACUUAAGGAAACUGGGGCUCAUCCCGGCUAGGAGCUCUUGCUGCUGGGUGGGGGUGGGAAAGUUUCGGCGGUUGGGGAUGGACUCGCGGCUUAUCAGCUUGGUGGUGGGGUAGUGGCUUACCAAGGCUUUGACGGGUGGCCGGGCUGAGCGGGUAACCGGCCACAUUGGGACUGAGAUACGGCCCAGACUACUACGGGAGGGAGCAGUGGGGAAUAGUGCACAAUGGGCGGAAGGCUGAUGCAGCAACGCCGCGUGGGGGAUGACGGCCUGCGGGUUGUAAACCGCUUUCGCCUGUGACGAAGCGUGAGUGACGGUAAUGGGUAAAGAAGCACCGGCUAACUACGUG
rnacentral:rRNA from 1 species